rnacentral:rRNA from 1 species
GACGAACGCUGGCGGCGUGCUUAACACAUGCAAGUCGAACGGAAAGGCCCUGCUUUUGUGGGGUGCUCGAGUGGCGAACGGGUGAGUAACACGUGAGUAACCUGCCCUUGACUUUGGGAUAACUUCAGGAAACUGGGGCUAAUACCGGAUAGGAGCUCCUGCUGCAUGGUGGGGGUCGGAAAGUUUCGGCGGUUGGGGAUGGACUCGCGGCUUAUCAGCUUGUUGGUGGGGUAGUGGCUUACCAAGGCUUUGACGGGUAGCCGGCCUGAGAGGGUGACCGGCCACAUUGGGACUGAGGUACGGACCAGACUCCUACGGGAGGCAGCAGUGGGGAAUAUUGCACAAUGGGCGGAAGCCUGAUGCAGCAACGCCGCGUGCGGGAUGACGGCCUUCGGGUUGUAAACCGCUUUCGCCUGUGACGAAGCGUGAGUGACGGUAAUGGGUAAAGAAGCACCGGCUAACUACGUG